rnacentral:rRNA from 1 species
GUUGGGAAUAUUGCACAAUGGGGGUAACCCUGAUGCAGCAAUGCCGCGUGAGUGAUGAAGGCCUUCGGGUCGUAAAGCUCUUUUAGCAGGGAAAAAGGGAAACUUGAUGGUACCUGCAGAAAAAGCACCGGCUAACUCCGUGCCAGCAGCCGCGGUAAUACGGAGGGUGCAAGCGUUGUUCGGAAUUAUUGGGCGUAAAGCGCAUGUAGGCGGCUACCUAAGUCUGAUGUGAAAGCCCGGAGCCUAACUCCGGAAGUGCAUUGGAUACUGGGUGGCUAGAGGACGAGAGAGGGAAGUGGAAUUCCUGGUGUAGGGGUGAAAUCCGUAGAUAUCAGGAGGAACAUCGGAGGCGAAGGCGGCUUCCUGGCUCGUAACUGACGCUGAGAUGCGAAAGCGUGGGGAGCAAACAGGAUUAGAUACCCGAGUAGUCC